rnacentral:lncRNA from 1 species
UAGCAUAGAUCUCAAAGUUCUGUAAACUAUUGUACAUCAUACUAAAGCAGUGAAAACUUCAGCCCCCCCCCACCUCAAAGCUAAAUUAAUCCAGAGACUGAAUCUCAUUAUGUCACAAUGUAUGUUCCAGAGCAGAAUUUCUUUGAUUCUCUCUAAAAUUACACUUGAGCUAAAAGGCAUCAUCGCAAUCACAAAAUCUCCUAUCCUGGAGAAAGCUACAAUCUGAGAAAGGAUGCAGGUGUCCUUACGUUGACUAGGGCUCUCGGGACUGGACGAAGAACAGCUGAUCUUGGCUCUGGGCUACAGGUUGGCUGCAGGACCACUCUAUAUGGCUCUCCAUUCUCCUUGAAACGGGAGAUACCUAAGGAAUAUUCUUCUCUUGGUGACUGGCAGGAGUGCAAGAGAACCAAACUGAACCAUUCAAAUCAAAAGAACAAAACAUCUUCCUUGAAUUCUCUGAAGUAUCAAGUGUCAUCUACCCUAAACAGCUUCUUCUAUGAGGCAGCCUUGCUGAGAGAAUGCUUUUAGGGGUCAAGGACACUUGCCUAUUUCCAGUCCUCUGGUAUGUCUCCCAUUCUCAAUAUGAAGUAACGAGAGCUUGGAACAAGAUGGUAACUAUGAACACGGAAAGAAAGAAAUGGCAAUGAACAAUAAUCACAUGAGCAUCAGCCUUGCUCAUGCAGGAGGAAGAAGAAAGGAUAAGAAGGACACACAGAUGGUUGCAAAGCACGGACCCUGACAGCUUUCUGGGAUAAGGAGACUGAUGUAUUUAUUUGGCAAAAACCUGCUGAUAGCUUUGGUCUCUGGAGACAAAGGGAUGUUAUUCCAAGCAGAGGCCAGAGGAGCAGCAUGAACAUCAG